rnacentral:rRNA from 1 species
GAUGAACGCUGGCGGCGUGCCUAAUACAUGCCAGUCGAGCGAACGGACGAGAAGCUUGCUUCUCUGAUGUUAGCGGCGGACGGGUGAGUAACACGUGGAUAACCUACCUAUAAGACUGGGAUAACUUCGGGAAACCGGAGCUAAUACCGGAUGAUAUUUUGAACCGCAUGGUUCAAAAGUGAAAGACGGUCUUGCUGUCACUUAUAGAUGGAUCCGCGCUGCAUUAGCUAGUUGGUAAGGUAACGGCUUACCAAGGCAACGAUGCAUAGCCGACCUGAGAGGGUGAUCGACCACACUGGAACUGAGACACGGUCCAGACUCCUACGGGAGGCAGCAGUAGGGAAUCUUCCGCCAUGGGCGAAAGCCUGACGGAGCAACGCCGCGUGAGUGAUGAAGGUCUUCGGAUCGUAAAACUCUGUUAUUAGGGAAGAACAUAUGUGUAAGUAACUGUGCACAUCUUGACGGUACCUAAUCAGAAAGCCACGGCUAACUACGUG